rnacentral:rRNA from 1 species
UGGGGAAUAUUGCACAAUGGGGGAAACCCUGAUGCAGCGACGCCGCGUGAGCGAUGAAGGCUUUCGAGUCGUAAAGCUCUGUCCUAUGGGAAGAUAAUGACGGUACCAUAGAAGAAAGCCCCGGCUAAUUACGUGCCAGCAGCCGCGGUAAUACGUAAGGGGCGAGCGUUGUCCGGAAUUAUUGGGCGUAAAGAGUGCGUAGGCGGCAAAUUAAGUCAGAUGUGAAAACUAAGGGCUCAACCCAUAGAUUGCAUCUGAAACUGAUAUGCUUGAGUCAAGGAGAGGAAAGUGGAAUUCCUAGUGUAGCGGUGGAAUGCGUAGAUAUUAGGAGGAAUACCGGUGGCGAAGGCGACUUUCUGGCCAUAUACUGACGCUGAGGUACGAAAGCGUGGGUAGCAAACAGG